AGGAAUUUCCCAGGGAACCACUUUGGGAGGAGGGGAAUGGGGGUGGGGCGGAUGUGUAGAGGGGAGAUGAGGCAGGCUUGGAAUCAUUGAAUUAAACAUUUGCUGAAUUCUGGGAAGCAGCUGCUAAAAAAAAAGACUAAAACAAAAACAAAAAACUGUUUAAUUAAUAAAGCCGGAACGGAAGAUGAGGCAGGAUGAGGGAAGGAUUCUCAGCCGCUAUACCUGAGGGCUCUAAGAACAAGAUAAACAAACCAGCAAACCCCUGCUUCCUCCCUCCCCUCAUUUCCAUCAGAGGCUCAGGCUUCUUCUUUGGGCCCUGGAGAUAGGGAGGUCUAUUACAUGCUUGACACAUCCUUUUAUGAGCUAGAGCCCGUGGCUGCAUGGGUCACAAAGACGGAUAAGCCUAGCUCACAUGCCAUCUUGGCUCAGUGGUCCUAGCCCACUGCAUGACCUUGGGCAAGUCAGAGCCUCUAGGAGCAAAUGCUACCUCUGAAGGCUUACAAAAUAAGCUUAUAAAAGUCACUUUACUUCCUUAGGUCUCAGUUUCCUCAUCUGUAAAAUGAGGGGUUAGACUGCAUGGCUUUUCAAAUGCCUUCUAGUUCUCCAUCUACCAUCCCAAAAGGUUUCCUCCCCCAUUGGACUGGAAACUCCCUGGAGGUAGUGACUGUUUCUGUGCCCCCCCCCAACUCUGGCACUUACCACAGUACCUGGCAUGUAGAAAUUUAAUAAAUAUGUAUUGAUUGACUAGUGACUGAGACAACAACAACUAGCAUUUCUUUGAAUGCAUUAUCUCAUUUGAUCUUCAUUUGAUUUAUGAGGGUGGAGGAAGUCAGAGCUCUAAGCCAGCUCUUGGUUCUGGAAUACAACUCCUCAGAAUGCACACCGAAUCAGAGCCCUACAGUAUCUCUGCCAGUUCCCUAAGAGGCAAAGUUCCACAUACAUUCUAUCCUGCAGGCUAGAAUCCCUGCCUUCCCUCUCCCUCCUCCCAUGCUGGAAGUCUCUUGGUUGCUGAGCUGCCCAUAAGGGUUUCUCCAUCCCAGAAAGGGUCCAGAUGGUACACAUUCAUCUACCUGUGAGCAAACACAUCAGAUGCUUCAUGUAAACAGGCAUCAAAGCCCUACUGAGUUACUGUAUUUAUUGUCGUGGAAGCCCUGUCCAAGGUGCUGGUGAUACAUCAAAAGAAGAACCUGGGAAGUAGGAGGGUUGGAUGAGCCUUCAUUGGUCCAAGCUUUGUUCAUCUUCUCAGGACUGCAGCUGGGCUGAGAGCCAAAGCACCUGGAGAUAGGAACUUGGUGGUGGGUCUGAAAACAAGUUGGGGGCAAGGAGGGGACAUAAAGUGUGGAUGCUAAAUGAAAAGACCAUAUGUAAGAGAAGAUCAAAGUUCCAUGAACCCUAGGGAGCUCACUGGGGCACAGGAAGAGGUGGAAAAGCUUGGGAUGCAGCUAAACACAGAGGACUGAAAUUCAUAUGCGAUGUCUAUCUGCUCCCUUGAACUGGAGGAACAGCUGGUAGAGUCCAGAGCAGAAACAAAGGGAACCAAACAUCAGGAGAGAGAAGAGUGCCCUUGAAGGGAAUUUCAUAAUGGUACAGCACACAAGCCAACAGGCCAAAUAGCUUUGGCAUUAAGGUGGUUGUAAGGAUGACAGAUGAUCCAAUGAUUGGUAUGUUCCUUGGGCAAGAGGUUCCAGCUUUUAAUAUAUAACAUGCCCUUAUGACUGUCUCAUCAUUACUACUAUUAUUAGACCAUCGUUAGUCUUUGAGGAAGAUGACUUCCAUAGUUGGAGUUGGCAGGGGAGGUGGAUGGGAUAAGCAUUUACUAAGUGCCUACUAUGUGCCAGGCACUGUGCUAAAGGCUUUACAAAUAUUAUCUCAUUUUAUCCUCUGAACAAUCUCAAGAAAUAGGUACUUUAUAUCCCUAUUUUAUAGUUGAAGAAACUGAGAGCUAUAGAGAUUAAGUGAUUUGUGAAGGAUCAUACAACUAGCAAGUGUCUGAGGACAGAUUUGAACUCAAGUCUUUCUGACUCCAGGACUCUAUUGACUGCAUUACUUAUGUAAGGCCAUUGGCUUGCUGGGCUUUGAGAUCAGGUCCUUUAGGGCAGAGACUAUCUAACUGUUGUAUAUGUCUCUCUAGUGCUAGAAUGAUGCCUGGCAUUCAUGAAGUGCUUAAUAAAUACUUGUUGAUUUAUUGAUGAGAACA
ensembl:lncRNA